UACGGAGGGUGCAAGCGUUAUCCGGAAUUACUGGGCUUAAAGGGUGCGUAGGCGGCUGUGUAAGUCAGAGGUGAAAUCCUGCAGCUUAACUGUAGAAUUGCCUUUGAUACUGCGUAGCUUGAAUCAAGUUGAGGUUAGCGGAAUGUGACAUGUAGCGGUGAAAUGCAUAGAUAUGGCAUAGAACACCAGUUGCGAAGGCAGCUGACUGGGCUUGAAUUGACGCUGAGGCGCGAAAGCGUGGGGAGCGAACAGG
rnacentral:rRNA from 1 species